rnacentral:rRNA from 1 species
GACGAACGCUGGCGGCGUGCUUAACACAUGCAAGUCGAACGGAAAGGCCCUGCGUUUGUGGGGUGCUCGAGUGGCGAACGGGUGAGUAACACGUGAGUAACCGGCCCUUGACUUUGGGAUAACUUCAGGAAACUGGGGCUAAUACCGGAUAGGAUCUCCUGCUGCAUGGUGGGGGGUGGAAAUUCUCGGCGGUAGGGGAUGGACGCGCGGCUUAUCAGCUUGUUGGUGGGGUAGUGGCUUACCAAGGCUUUGACGGGUCGCCGGCCUGGGAGGGUGACCGGGGACAUUGGGACUGAGAGACGCACCAGAGGCCUACGGGAGGCAGCAGUGGGGAAUCUUGCCCAAUGGGCGGAAGCCGGAUGCAGAAGCGCCGCGGGCGGGAUGACGGCCUUCUGGUUGUAAACCGCUUUCGCCUGUGACGCAGCGUGAGUGACGGUAAUGGGUAAAGAAGCACCGGCUAACUACGUG